UUGAUCCUGGCUCAGGAUGAACGCUGGCGGUCUGCUUAACACAUGCAAGUCGAACGCAACCUUCGGGUUGAGUGGCGGACGGGUGAGUAACGCGUGAGAAUCUGCCUUGGGGUCGGGGACAACCACUGGAAACGGUGGCUAAUACCGGAUAAGCCUUUGGGUAAAAAAUUUAUUGCCCCAAGAGGAGCUCGCGUCUGAUUAGCCAGUUGGUGAGGUAAAAGCUCACCAAGGCAGCGAUCAGUAGCUGGUCUGAGAGGACGAUCAGCCACACUGGGACUGAGACACGGCCCAGACUCCUACGGGAGGCAGCAGUGGGGAAUUUUCCGCAAUGGGCGAAAGCCUGACGGAGCAAGACCGCGUGAGGGAGGAAGGCUCUUGGGUUGUAAACCUCUUUUCUCAGGGAAGAAGCUCUGACGGUACCUGAGGAAUCAGCCUCGGCUAACUCCGUGCCAGCAGCCGCGGUAAUACGGAGGAGGCAAGCGUUAUCCGGAAUUAUUGGGCGUAAAGCGUCCGCAGGUGGCGAUUCAAGUCUGCUGUCAAAGCACGGGGCUUAACUCCGUUAAGGCAGUGGAAACUGAAUAGCUAGAGUGCCGUAGGGGUAGAGGGAAUUCCCGGUGUAGCGGUGAAAUGCGUAGAGAUCGGGAAGAACAUCGGUGGCGAAAGCGCUCUACUGGACGGCAACUGACACUCAGGGACGAAAGCUAGGGGAGCGAAUGGGAUUAGAUACCCCAGUAGUCCUAGCUGUAAACGAUGGAUACUAGGUGUAGCUUGUAUCGACCCGAGCUGUGCCGAAGCUAACGCGUUAAGUAUCCCGCCUGGGGAGUACGCACGCAAGUGUGAAACUCAAAGGAAUUGACGGGGGCCCGCACGAGCGGUGGAGUAUGUGGUUUAAUUCGAUGCAACGCGAAGAACCUUACCAGG
rnacentral:rRNA from 1 species